rnacentral:rRNA from 1 species
GACUAACGCUGGCGGCGUGCCUAACACAUGCAAGUCGAACGAAGCAGCAAUGCUUAGUGGCAGACGGGUGAGUAACGCGUAGAUAAUGUGCCCUCUUGCGGGGGAUACCGUUUCGAAAGGAACGUUAAUACCGCAUAAAGUCCUUAGGAGGCAUCUCUUAGGGACCAAACUUCCGGGGCGGGAGGAGCAAUCUGCGUACUAUCAGCUAGUUGGUGAGGUAAUGGCUCACCAAGGCUACGACGGUUAACUGGUCUGAGAGGAUGAUCAGUCACACUGGAACUGAGACACGGUCCAGACUCCUACGGGAGGCAGCAGUGAGGAAUAUUGCACAAUGGGCGAAAGCCUGAUGCAGCGACGCCGCGUGGAGGAUGAAGGAUUUCGGUCUGUAAACUCCUGUCAGUAGGGAAGAGAAUGGACGGUACCUACUGAGGAAGCUUCGGCUAACUACGUGCCAGCAGCCGCGGU